rnacentral:misc_RNA from 1 species
UCUCCUUCUCCCAAGUGGACAACUAUCAAGCACCCUCCCUAGCAUCAACCGUGUGUUUUGUAAUGCUAAUUCUCUUGCUGACAAACCAGAUUCAGAUGCAUUAGAUAGUGCCACAGGUGUUGAACCUGGUCCAUAUCCGAGGCCCAUUGCAAACUGCAAUGGUCCACUUCGAGCCUUAAGUGAUGUUUGAGAUGCAAGGAGCUUCUCUUCGGUGCCAAUGAGUCCAUAAUCAAAUUGCCCAGGAUCAUUGGGAUGUGAUCCGGGUAAAGAGCUACAGCUGUGUAAGAGGGCUUCCAGCACACUAAGGGCCUCCCAACACAUAGGGCUUUCCACCAACUGAGAUACAAUUGCAUACAAUUGUGGACUCUGAGCAGCAUCCAUAGACGUAUGCUGAAGCAGUGCCUUCAGCAUAAGAAGGAUAACACGCUGAUAUUCCACUGGCCCUUUCUCAAGAAGCCGUAGGAGGUGCCCAAAUGCCAGAGUUGAGUGCUUGGGGAACCAUUCAUGGCAUAGUAAUGGUGAAACACAAGCUAGAAGGUUCUCUACUCGUUUGAUCUCACCACGGGAGUAAGCCAUGAAAACAGUAGCCAGUUCAUCCAUUGAUUUUGAUCGACACCAGACGGCUAUAUUGGCAGCAACAGAGCAAGCCUUUUGAUGUUGCUGCUGUAGUGGUGACAUAAAACCCAGAAAUACAUCCUGGCCGAGCUGUAAGCAGAGCCAGGGAAGCAAGCCAGUGAUGUGCAUCAAUAACCGUGUUUCUGCGUCGCCGAAGAUAGAAUCACAUGAAGGCACUGUAAUCCUUGAUAGAAGCUCAACAGAAGCACCGUGACUGACAGUGGACAUAAGACCUUUAAGAACCAAAGGCUGUACUCCCUCAAAGACUG